rnacentral:rRNA from 1 species
UACGUAGGGUGCGAGCGUUAAUCGGAAUUACUGGGCAUAAAGCGUGCGCAGGCGGUUCGCUGUGUCCGAUGUGAAAGCCCCGGGCUCAACCUGGGAAUGGCAUGGGAAACUGGCGGGCUGGAGUGUGGCAGAGGGGGGUGGAAUUCCGCGUGUAGCAGUGAAAUGCGUAGAGAUGCGGAGGAACACCGAUGGCGAAGGCAGCCCCCUGGGCCAACACUGACGCUCAGGCACGAAAGCGUGGGGAGCAAACAGG